GACGAACGCUGGCGGCGUGCUUAACACAUGCAAGUCGAACGGGAGUAUCGAAGAAGCUUGCUUUUAAGAUACUUUAGUGGCGGACGGGUGAGUAACGCGUGAGGAGCUGUCCUAUGCAGGGGGACAACAGUUGGAAACGACUGCUAAUACCCCAUAAGCCGAGAGGUAAGAGGAUUUAUCCGGCAAAGGAGGUACUCGCGUCCUAUCAGCUAGUAGGUGAGGUAACGGCUCACCUAGGCGAAGACGGGUAGCCGGCCUGAGAGGGCGAACGGCCACACUGGAACUGAGAUACGGUCCAGACUCCUACGGGAGGCGGCAGUGGGGAAUAUAGGGCAAUGGGGGCAACCCUGACCCAGCGACGCCGCGUGGGUGAAGAAAUCCUUCGGGAUGUAAAGCCCUGUUGUAUGGGAAGAGCAGAAGACGGUACCAUACGAGGAAGCCCCGGCAAACUACGUGCCAGCCGCCGCCGUAA
rnacentral:rRNA from 1 species